AAUGCACAGGUAACAACAGCUGUAUACUUAAUUUCUUCUUUCUGUCGUUUCAUAAGACCCAGUGUGCAUUGCCCAACUUACAACAACUAAAGAGGAUUGAUCUACAUUCCAGAAGAGUUAGCAGCUCCUGAACCAGGCUGCUUGGACAGGCGAUACUGUCACUAAUGGGCACCAUCAGAAAGAAGUACAGUGUGCACUGGGGUGCCACCGGAGGUGACAGGGAGACCCUGUGGUUCGGGUGCCACUUCUGCCUCCCAGGCUGAUCCUGCCAGAGGAGCCGGCAAGGGGAGGAACCACGCGCUCUGCUCCUGCGGCAUGAAGUACACGGGGUUACUGACGGUCAUUGCUCCUUCAUCUACAUAUCCAGUUACAAAUUCCCCGUUGCCUUUUUGUUCCACACGAAAAAGUAAAUCAACCGCCUCAGCUGAGGCAAGGCGGAGGUUACUCUGGGGCAAAAGUGUCUCCCUCGCCUUCCUCUCUCCCACGCAGCAGGACCACUCGUGAAUAUGCUGGUUUUGAGCAUGCUGUGCAAACACCCCACUUGAACCCCGCUAGCAAAAUCCACCAUCACCUCCACUCCCUGCCUGGGAAAAGACUGGGAAAAGAUCUGGCUCCUGCAAUAACAUAAAACCGUCCUUCUCUUUCCAGCAGAGGAUAAAGCACCCAGCUUCACCGCAAGCAGAGGAAAAACUUCCCCCACCCCAAUUCCUUGGUUACUUCCUACGUGUGCCAAAAUCUCUAAACACUUCUGCAGCUUGUUUAUUUUUUGGUGAGAUCAUCAACUGUUCAGAAAGUCAGAUGGACAAAGGAGGGGCUGACUAAAGGCAUACUGGCAUGCAGAGAUCAGAUGUUUGCAAGCUUUUUCAUUGAAUUUGUCCCUACUUAAGACAUUUUUCAAGCUUCUCUUAAAGGGCCACAUGCCUUAUGGGGGAAAAAAAAAAAAGUAGCCAAGGAAUAAUUCUUCCACUUUUCUGUUCCCUCAGUGAUGUGUUGUUUUUUGGUUUGCCUAGUCUGUUUUAUCUGGGUUUGGCUUGGAGGUUUUUUGCGACAUGAAGGCAUGAUUUUCUUGGUUGGGGACAUAUUCUAUAGGCAAUUGCAGGAAUACAAUCUGAACUACACUGAGAUUCCUGCUGACCUGCCUGCAAUCAUGAGGGGGAGUAACAAAGAGUCACCAUCUUUCACAGCUGUAAUUAACCAGCCCGGCAUUAGCAGAGCAUUCAUCCCCUGCCUUUUUUGUCAUGCCAAGCAUUUUCAGACUCACUUAGCACUAUAAUUUGCUGAAAAUCAAUGCUGCCUUCCAAGGAACUCCUACAAACACCUGAACGAGUUUUCAUCAUCAUUUGGAGUAAACCAUGAAGGAAACAGAACAAGGUUACCAGAACUGCGAGGCGGUGUUUGGCUUCCAGACAGCUGAUCAUGAAGCCAUGAUCAUUAUCCAAGACCACACGUGAAAGCUCUGUGAGACCAAGGGACCAAAUCCCAACACCACAGUCCUGGCUGCAGUGCCCUAAGCACACAGCCAGCCUUUUGUACCAUGCAUUUUCUCCCCCACCCCAUCUGGUCUUACUUCCAGGACUUGUGGGUCAGUGUCUUAUGCAACCCCUCUCAGUUUUGGAGGCAUGAAUAACAACUUGCACAUGAAACAACAGAAAGCACCGAAUACUGCAAUACAUCUAAAUUCUCCCUCUGGAUACCUUAAAAAGUCAAGGUUUAACAGAGGUUUCCUCUUGAAAACAGCCACUCCCAUCCAAGAUGACUGCUUGCCCACUAGGGCCUAAGGAAACAAGAGAGCAUUGCUUAGAAAAAACCCCUCCAAAAUAGAAAGCAAAAGAAACAGUUAAGUCUUCUGAAGGCUAAUACCAAGGUUAGUUAACAAUGCAAACACCUGGAGUGGAUGGAAGAGCACAUUUUACCACCAUGGGCAUUUGUAUGUCUCCUCUCUUGCUUGAGAGUGGCCAAGAGCAUUAUUGCAGUCAGCCACUGCAAGCUGUGGGCACAGAACAAUGCGCUGGAGAUCAAUCUCUCCACAUACUUUGACAUGGACAUGCAGCCUUUCCUUGCCCCUCACCUUUAUCUUCAAAAGAAAACCAAGGGAGCUGCAGCCCUGCAGGCUCCCUCACCCCCGGCACAGGGUUUGCCCUCCUGAUUGAAACCAUAAGCCCCAGCAAGCAAGCUAAGCCCUAGGCAUAAAUAGGGAGAUAAACUUGAGGUCAGACUGAGCAAACACACUCAGAAGACUGUCAAAACUGAUGUGAACCAUCUUGCUGAUUCAGUGGUGGCAUAGUCAGCAGAAAUAAUACUGAGACAGCUUUUCCCCAUGGCAGACUACUUUUGCAGUUUCAGUCCUGACAUCAAGGGAGCAAUAGCAGAGAACAGAGACUUUUGCUUCUAAACCAUGCAAAUAACCCCACAAAGCAACAACAGGUCUGGCAGGGCUGAAAUACCUUUGUUGUAAUUAGCUCCAGUUUGGACACAGUAUGGCAGUGCAACAGAAGACCAUCCCCACACACAUGAAACAAGCAGAAGAGAUGUCCAUUUCCCAUAUGGGACAGAGAGAAAAAUCCUUCAUAUGGUCACACAAGGAAGCUUCCAGCACAACUGAGAACUCUUAGGCCUGGAGGUCUUGUGCCUUAACCACAAAAUGUCCUUUCCUCUCUGAAGUCACCAGUCAGGAUUAGACAAUCACACAUGGCAGUAUAUCACGAAUACUGUUUUCACAAAAGGCACAGCUGUCCUUCAUUUCCACACAGUUCAAACAAACCUUGGGGGCUGCCUUCUGGGCAUCAAAAACAGAAACUCUCGGAUUUCCAAACUGCAGAGCAUCUCCUACUGUAACACUUUAUUACAUCCUAAGAUUUACAUUUUACUGACAACCUAACUUUUUCCAGAACCUUUGUGCCCGGGCACAGUGGUAGGCCAGUCAGUGCUUGUUUAAGAAUCAAACUUUUGUGACCAAAAAACAAAACCCAAAACCAAACCCAAAGUCCAAAAUGUAUUCCAAGAGCUCAAGACAAUCACAUGAAUUAGUGAAGAACAACAAUCUCUAUGCUUGCUAUAUUACUGAUUAAAAUGAACAUCAAAAUAAAAAUAUGCAUUAUAAAAAAAUAGCAAA